ACCAGCCCCUGUCAAAGCUGAUGGAACCACAGCAGAGAACCCUGAGAUUUUCACUGGCUGAGCCUGCCAAUGAGCAGCCAGUUCUAGCUUGCAGCACCCCAAGGAUUUCCUCUCAUGAAAAGCCUCUCGUAGCCCCCCUCCCCUUUGUGCAGCCAGACUCCUCCAGAGCUUUCAUUGCCCCAAGCCAGCAGCAGCACUUCAGCCUCAUUGUCCCCACCAAAACUCUGGGGUUUAACCUGUGAGAAGUCACUAAUUCUUAUUUUGUCAGCUCUGUUUGCCAGAGGAAACUUCCAGGUGGAGAGCCGUGGCUGUAUUUAUCUAUUUUAUCAUUAUCAGUGAUAAUGAUGUUCAGGAUGUUCAGGAUUCUGUGGCCUGAGACGCUGCUGCUGCUUUCAGGUGUCAGAGUGUCAAAACUCUCUCUCUGCUGUCCUCAGGGGCAGCUCCCAGGUGAGCUCUGGAUGCACAGAAAGCUUUUUUUAUGUUCCUUUUUCCAGCUGUUCUUUGCACAACAGCAUUUCUGGUCUAAGGCAGCUGACGUGGCACGUUCAGCUCUGUGUGAGAGAGACCUCUGGGCAAGUGGAGCUCAGGCAGCUCCUGGCUGUCACCCUGCUCCAAGAAUGACACAAGAACAGACAAGAGACCAAAUUGCAGAGGAGAAAAAGAAACUUUAAUACAAAGGAUUCUCCAGCUUAUAUAGACCGAUGCAUUCUACUGCAUUGGCUAGUUAAUAAAAAAACAUCUUUCUCACACACCGUCCUUGAGAGGAACAGAAAAGCAAGGUGGAAAAACACCACUGCAGAUGGUUUAGACUAACAAGAUACCACAUUCCUACAGCUCCCUAAAAAUUCUCACAAGCCACUGUGAGAACCCAUUGCUGUUUGUCUCUCCCUGCCCAGGCUGGCAUCCACACCUGGCUGCCGAAACUGCCACGAAAUCCCCUCGCUGCUCCAGCUUUUGCAGGGAAACAGCCCCAGAGCCAGCCCCUGCAGGCAGCGGGGAGCAGCUGGAGCAGCUCUGGGCCGUGCCUCACCGAGAUUUCCCCCUCCUGCCAGGCUUCCAGGUGCUGCUCAGGCUGCUGGACUCGGGGGACGAGGCGGCUGUGGGGAACGCAGCUUUGUGCCUGAGCCAGUGCCUGCUCCUGCCCGGGGCUGCCUCCUCCCUGCUGGGCUCCGGCGUGGUGCAGCUGCUGCUCAGGCAGGCCGGGGUGAUGCUCUCAACACCUCGGUGCAGCAGAACUCAGCCAUUGCCCUGGCCAGGCUCUGCGUGGCUGAGCCGAGGCACAUGCAUCAGCUGAGGAGGCUCAAUGGCCUGGCCAUCCUGAACUCCUCCAUGAAAUACGUGCACAGCAGCUGACCUCCUCAGAAACCCUCCACGAGCGCCCUUCAUCUCACUGCUGUCGAGUUUUCUUUGCUUUAAUAAAAUUAAUUCAAAGCACA